ensembl:lncRNA
CUUAAAUGAGCUUCUGGUCAUGUGGGAGGCACAGGUGGAUUGCUUGCACUGUGCUUCCUGGGCCAGCCACCCUCUUCACCAGGUGCUCAAUCAUCAGUUCAGGCCGGGACAUAACAGUUCUUCUACAUUCCCUGGGACUAUGGAGCGAUUAAGCCCUUUCAACGCAUAUCUGCAUUUCUCCUGUGCGAAGGUUCAAGACGACAAAACGAGGCUGAAAAACCAUUUUGACGGGGUGUGGAAGAGCACUGAGGACAAAGGCUGUCUCUGGAGACAAGAGCAGAAGACAAACGGGCCCGUAAUGCCCUCGUGUUGACCCUGAAGGGAGAAGAAGCGUGUGAAUAGAAGCAACUCUUGGCUCUGAUUGGAUGAGCACUUGCGCGGGCAGUUAGCGUCUAGACGUGAAAGAGACUUGUUAAGUGUUCUGUUGAUAUGUAGUGGGAUGGAACUUGGAAAUGUAUGGAAGGGAUGUGACAAUCUGCAGUGAAGUAUUUGGAUCGUUCACGCAUCUGUGUCCGCGCCUUCAGACUCUGCACUCUUCUGAAUAAUGGCUGAAACAUAGUUACACUGGUCCCUUGUCCUUCCUAGUGUUCGCACCCUUCUGUUGGGAACCGCGGGUGGCAUGCUUUCAAAUUAACGACAUGCAUUCGUUGCAAGGGACUCCGCUCCUCCAUACUGUAAGACUUUCCAUCACAGGCCCAUGAAAGCCUCUUCAGUUGUUAAUCUCCUUUGGCCUACUCUGGGUGUUAAUCAUUAAGGAAGUUGUACAUCUCUGUACAGUUGGCUUAUGGCCAAACUCCUUUUCUAUAGAUCAGUGGUACCCACAAUCACAGAGACUAUUUAAUAUUCAGUCUGAAGUUAUACAAAUGCAGCAUAAGGAGCUGAGUAUCAUAUGUACCUAUGGACAAGUGCUGCAUCACUGUUGAUUGUUAGAGGUAAAGGAUUACCACCAUAAAUUGCUUAAUUACAACAAAACUGUGUUCCUUCCCCCAAAAUAAAUUACUCACCAAGUGUCUGCAAUUGACCGUGUAUUCAAUUUUAUUAAUCUAAGUAGUGCACAAGUUGAGAUGACAAAAGAGAAAAUAAAAAAUACUUUAUAAGGC